rnacentral:lncRNA from 1 species
UUAGAGAGACAAAGAAGUACUCACUCUACCACAACUACAAAAUGAUGAACAAAUUUGUUAUCUUCACUCUUCUUGCACUUUUAAUAGUGACCCUUAUGCAAAUGUCUGACGCAGUUCGCGUUCCUGCUGCUAAUGAUCUACUUCAUCCCCAAGGUAAUUUAAUUCAAAUUUAACAUACAUAAUGGUUUAGCCAUGGAUCAUAUGCAAGUAGGCUCAAAAUCGAUGUAUAUAUAUAUAAACACUAAUAUAGUGUACUAUCUAUAUGGAGAGUUUUUCAUUACCUAGAGUUUUCGGGUUAUCUAUUUAUUUGUUUGGUACUCAGCAUCUAACUAUGGUUUAUGUAAUUUUUGUUUCUUGAUCUGUUACAGCUUGUCCAUGCUGCAAGUGGGAAAGGAAAUUUUUCUUGCUCUGCACCCAAAUAUGUUGCAACUGAAGAAGGCUACCUGUGAGAAUGGACAAGGCAACUAAUAGUCCAAUACUACAUGGCAUAUCAUCACCAAAAAAAAAAAAUGUACUCGCUUUCAUCCUGUAAUGUUCAAUGGAUGAUCUUUGUAAUAAUGAUUGUAAUAAAGCCAUUUCUCACUGCAGUUUGCUUCUAUUAAACUCUUGCAGUCUUGCUU